rnacentral:misc_RNA from 1 species
GAUGAAGAACGUAGUGAAAUGCGAUAAGUAAUGCGAAUUGCAGAAUUCCGUGAGUCAUCGAAUCUUUGAACGCACAUUGCGCCCUCUGGUAUUCCGGAGGGCAUGCCUGUCUGAGCGUCAUUGUCAACCCUCAAGCUCAGCUUGCUGUUGGGUCCCCAUCGUUGCUUUAACGGCGGACCCGAAAGGUAAUGGCAGAGUCCGUGAGACCCUAGACGCAGCGAGCUUCUAGCACGCGUCUGGACGUUUUUCGGGCUCGGUCUUAACUAGAUGAUAACUUCCGAUUGACCUCAGAUCAGGUAGGGAUACCCGCUGAACUUAAGCAUAUCAUAAGCGGAGGA